rnacentral:rRNA from 1 species
GAUGAACGCUGGCGGCGUGCCUAAUACAUGCAAGUCGAGCGAACAGAUGAGGAGCUUGCUCCUCUGACGUUAGCGGCGGACGGGUGAGUAACACGUGGAUAACCUACCUAUAAGACUGGGAUAACUUCGGGAAACCGGAGCUAAUACCGGAUAAUAUAUUGAACCGCAUGGUUCAAUAGUGAAAGACGGUUUUGCUGUCACUUAUAGAUGGAUCCGCGCCGCAUUAGCUAGUUGGUAAGGUAACGGCUUACCAAGGCAACGAUGCGUAGCCGACCUGAGAGGGUGAUCGGCAACACUGGAACUGAGACACGGAACAGACACCUACGGGAGGCAGCAGUAGGGAAUCUUCCGCAAUGGGCGAAAGCCUGACGGAGCAACGCCGCGUGAGUGAUGAAGGUCUUAGGAUCGUAAAACUCUGUUAUUAGGGAAGAACAAAUGUGUAAGUAACUAUGCACGUCUUGACGGUACCUAAUCAGAAAGCCACGGCUAACUACGUG